GACGGAGGGUGCAAGCGUUGUUCGGAUUGACUGGGCGUAAAGGGCGUGUAGGCGGUUGGUCAAGUCUGAUGUGAAAGCCCGGGGCUCAGCCCCGGAAGGGCAUCGGAAACUAGCCAGCUGGAGCGCGAUAGAGGAGGGUGGAAUUCCUGGUGUAGCGGUGAAAUGCGUAGAUAUCAGGAGGAACACCGGUGGUGUAGACGGCUCUCUGGACCAUAACUGACGCUGAGACACGAAAGCGUGGGUAGCAAACAGG
rnacentral:rRNA from 1 species